rnacentral:rRNA from 1 species
CCAAUAGCGUAUAUUAAAGUUGUUGCAGUUAAAAAGCUCGUAGUUGAAUUUCGGGAUCAAUAUUUCGGUCAUGCCGUUGGUAUGCACUGUUAUAAUUGAUUUCUCACCUUCUAAAGGACCGUUAUGCCAUUAAUUUGGUGUUACGGGGAAUUAGGACUGUUACCUUGAAAAAAUUAGAGUGUUUAAAGCAGGCUCACGCUUGAAUACAUUAGCAUGGAAUAAUGAAAUAGGACAUCCGAUUCUAUUUUGUUGGUUUCUAGGAUCGAUGUAAUGAUUAAUAGGGAUAGUUGGGGGCAUUAGUAUUCAAUUGUCAGAGGUGAAAUUCUUGGAUUUAUUGAAGACUAACUACUGCGGAAGCAUUUGCCAAGGAUGUUUUCAUUAAUCAAGAACGAAAGUUAGGGGAUCGAAGACGAUCAGAUACCGUCGUAGUCUUAACCAUAAACUAUGCCGACUAGGGAUCGGAUGAUGUUAAUUUUUUAAUGACUCAUUCGGCGCCUUACG